CCGAGGUCCGGAUUUAGUGAACCCUGCUGUAGAGCUACCUUGAAUCCUGUUGAGGGUGGCACUUGUUGCCUAACAUGUGCUUAUUCCAAUCCUUGUAUGAUGUGCAUCCACACUAUUGCCAAGUAUUGGCUCACUUGAUUUAACUCUCAUAAGUUAAGAGGCAUUAUUUAUUUAGUAUUCUCUCUUACCAAUACUGAAUUGUGAAACAAAAAGACCUUAUUCUUACUUUUACAAAAUAAGUAAGUCCUUUGUCCCGAGCUGUUAUGGUUUUUCUUAAACCUAUCCAUAAUAUUUUGGGAGGUUGAAAGCAGAUUUUGUUGUGUACAAUUUUCACCACCAGAUAACAGAUUUUCCAUUCAAAACGAUUGGGCCAACAUUCCACCAAUAAAUCCAGCUCCAAUCCAUUGGUUAUAGAUAUGUAUAUUUCAAUGUUUCAAAGUACUUUUCAUAUUUUAUCCUGAUAUUAUGUGAUAUAUAUAUUUUUUAUGAACCAUUACUAUUUCAAUGUUCACACUUUCACUUUAUCAGCCAAUUUACUCAUGAUGCGACAAUGUACUGAAGGAAAAUGUUUUUUUUUUUUUCCUGAAAUACUAAUAGUAGACAAGAAAGGUUCUAUUGUAUGGAGGACCAAAGCUGCCAAAAUUAAAAAUAAAAGUAAUUAAAAAUGAAUCAAUAAAAGGCAAAAUAUAAACGACUAUAAAAACAAAAUAAAAAAUAGGAUGCAAAAAUUAAAAAUAAAUACAAAAAAAUAUAUGGAAAUAGCUACUUAAAUAAAAGAAAUAAAAAUGAAUAUAUAUACUAAAAUAAGAAAUUACAUUAAAAAUGUAAGAAUACAAAAAUAAAUAUAUUGACUGAAAUAAAUAAAAGCGCUUUGCCUUAUAUUUACUUGUCAUCACGACCGUGCAAGUGGAAAUACUAUUCAAAUGAGGAGGCGUUCCUACGGGUGCAAUGGGUUGAACCAGAGCCAUUUCAAGAGUCGCGACUCUGUUCUCGCCGCGGGUGGUCACGUGGUUCAUGUAGUUCCAAACACAAGCAGCGCUGUCGUGGUUUGCAAUGGAACUGACAGCGGUAAUUGCGACAUUUGUGGAAAAAUGGAUCAAAUCACGUAUCUAAGUACUUGUUUGAUUAUGUCAUUGCAUUAUGACAUAUAUCUAAGGGCUAGUUUUACAUUUGGAGUGGUCAGGCGACAAUUGAGAACUAUGUAAACUAACACAGAAGGGAACUUUCUCAUGUUAUGGAGUGAACAUGUCAUGUUGAUGUUAGCAUGAGCACGGGAAAUCGACUUUUACAUUGAAAUACUAGAUGACUAUGGUUUUUCAUUUUUCACAACUAAAAUACUGUUUUUCCAGAAAAUUUCUAGAUUUCCUUGAUUCACCUACCUGUGGUAAUAUAUUAAAGAUGACCCCAUGUAUAACAUAUUUUGUUCCUUAGUUCUAAGUGGUAGUUUAAAGUUUGUUUUCUCGUAUUGACAUAUAAAAACAUUUGUUUCCCCAAAAAUUUGGGUUUGUGGUCACGGCUUUUAAAUUCUAUUUUCCACUUUUCUUUCCUGUUGCACUUUCAAAUGCUUACAUAUAUGUGUGAGUACAUUUUCCAUUUUAUAGACUUAGUUUGACCUGAAACACAAACAAAUGACAUUUAACAGUGCAAAACAACUAAAUUUUGAAUAUAGCCUCUAAUUUUAGCAAAACCAAACCUGUACUUCUUUAGAGGCAUUUUUCAUUUUGGAACCAAGCAACACAAAAUGAUUACAAGACAGGAAAAACAUUUUAUGAUUUUCCUCAACAUGGUGUAAUGUAUAACAAUAACAACUUAUUACCUUUGAUCAAGAAAAUCACAAUAUUUAUUGAAAAAUUGGUGAAAUUGGUGACAUGGUUCAUUGUUUACACCUAACAUUUUAUAGAUCAGUGGACUGUGAUGGUUUGUGUGCAGCAUGGUUUCCCCAAGGACCAAGAGCAGCAGAAAAAAAUGGAUGCCAAUGGUCAGUCGUCAAAACAUGAAAAAAAUGCUUUUUUUUUUUUUUGUUUGUUUGUUUGUUGCCAUUUAAAAAAUGGUCUUAGUGCGCACAACCAGCAGUCACCAUCAGCAGGCACCACCAGCAGCAUGAUGUCCAUCCAUCCAUCAUCUUCCACUUGCUGUGGGGUCCGGUCGCGGGGGCAGCAGCUUUAACAGGGAAGCCCAGACUUCCCUCUCCCCAGCCACUUCAUCCAGCUCCUCCGGCGAGGUCCCAAGGCGUUCCCAGGCCAGCCGAGACACAGUCUCUCCAGCGUGUCCUGGGUCGUGACUAUAGGUUAGGGUAGGAACGUAGACCGACAGCAGCAUGAUGUGGAUCAUGAAAAAGUAACCUAAAAUAAUAAUAUACAUUACUUUUUUUAAAUAAAUGUGUAUUAUUUGUUGACAUAACUUUUCAAUCUAUGCACAUCUCUAAAAUAUAAUAAUGUCAAACAUUUUGGUGUAAAGAAUACAGGUUGUCAUGCAUUGACUUGUUACUCUUUUAUGAGGGGGAUACCUUACUUCAAAGCUUACAAAAUGGAGCUAAUAAGCCGGUCGUCGACCAAUACUCACAAAUACAGAUGAGUGUGUACGUCACAAAGGGCCUCUGAAAGAGUUAACAACUUAAAAGAGGUAGGGACAAUGAAUUUACCCCUGACGAUACAUUCCUAGUUAGCAGACUCAGCUUAAAAAGUAGCAGAACAUCGCUCGUCAACCAAGAUAAAAUAUAUGUAUAAUUACGCUACGCAUCUACAAAUAAAGCUCAACAUAUACAUCAUAAAGCGCCUCUGAUAGAAUACAGACUGUUGAAAAUUCAAAAGGGAUCGUUUUUUUCACCAACUUACCUCCGAAUAUACUUUACAGCCAGCCAUUCGUAUGAAUGCGGUCCGCUCUCGUCGAAGCCAUGUUUGGAACUACACGAGGCUCCGUAACCCGGAAGUACCCGGAAGUAAAAUCGUGUAAUGGAUCUCUAUGGGAGUGUCGUAACCCUCUUUCUAAGGCCCUGGGUUGAACUAUUCGCUUAUUGGUUGAUCGACAUUCUGAAAUCUACUAGUCAUGCCUGCCACCGAAGACGUGACUUUACAGUUAGCGAUUUAGCCGACCUACAUGGUGUGAAGUGAGAGAAUAUCCACCGUUGAAUGUCACAGCAUGGUAUAAGAGUUUCUGACCUGAAUAAUUCCACUGACAUCGCAACGUUGGAUGCUGGAUGAUUACAGAGAUCCCAGGAUCUCCUCAAAAUUCUGGGUUCAAAAUGAUGCAAGGACAAAGGUUCAAAACUUCGCGUGCAAGAAUCCAUGCGACGUCUGGAUCCACCGGGAAUUGUCCGCACACUACAACUACAAACUGUUCGGCGUAGAACAUAUUCUGUGCCAGCCCCCAACAGUCAAAGGCAUAUCUAUGGCAACCAUAAACUCAUAAAUUAAGGCUCUAUGUUGGGGAACUAGGAAGGAAGUACAAAAAUAAAUCAAGACCAUAUUUUUUUCACCCAUUUUGGAAAGAAAACGUUGCCAGUCUAUGAAUCCAGGGACUUGGAAAGAGAGGAUUGGAACAAAAAUACAGGGUUUUCCGGAACAGCCAUAUGGGAAUGACUGUGGCAUCUUCAUGUUGAUGGGACUUCGAGAUACAGCUUGAAGUUUCAAAGCAAACAAAAAGAUGGGUUGCCUGGAGGAGUUACGAGCCAACAACGCAGACAUUCUGACAGAAUUUGGAGGCGCAUGUCCUGGAAAGACUGCAGGAUUCAUCGGUGAAGUUUGCUGAUCCAGACUUUUAUUUCAAGCCUCCAACUACAAUUCCCCAGGCAUCAAAAGGCCUGAUAAAGAAAGUCAUUUUACAUGUCAGUAGAUUUAAAAAAUAAUUAGGCUGACAUUUUCCUUUUUUCUUUUUGAUAGAUAUUUUUGAAUGUACUAUAAUAAAAAAAAAAACAUAUUGUCUUAUUUGUGAAAUGUGAAGGUUUAAAAGAUCGAAAGUUUCUGGGUAUAUACUGUAGGAGUUGUACUUAGAACUAUUGCAGAGCAUCUUCAGUUUCCCUAAAACCAUUGUAGUUCCCACUGACAGAAGUGCACUUGUCACGGAUGCAGGAGACGACACAUGAUGGAAGAACACGUCGCUGGCCUCUUCCCAGAUGUUUGCCUUUCAACGCCCACUCAAGAACAACCCUAUAUGCAACCAAUCGGAGUUGCCUAAAACAACAAAACCAUAAUACAGGGUGAUUAAAAAAGAAAGUGCCAAAAUCAUCAUGUGAUAGAUCAAAAAAUUAUAUAUAUUAUUUAAAAAAGUUACAGAACUCUAGCUUGGACACAUGUUCAAUAUUCCCAACAAAUAAGCAGCACGAUUCAAAAUGAGGGGGAAAAAGUAGCGGCUUAUAGUCCGCAAAUUACUUAAAGGGGAAGUUCAGAUUUUUUGACAUCAGGCUUACUCUUCGAGUUAGGGGGGGUUAAAUGGUCAGUGGAGUUGAUUUCAAAAUAUUCCGUGUCGUUUGUUAGUCUUCUAUUAUUCUUCAGGGCUCCGGAGUGAUUAUGCUAAUGCAAGUCAAUAUGGCCAAUUAGCAUGCGAAUAAAAAACGAUAUUCACAGAUCUAACAUUGUCAAAUAAAUUCAAAACGCAGCUCGAUGUUCAAAAACCCCCUGCAGCCAAAACAAUGUCUCACCAAACUGCCGUAAUUCAUUUAAUUCUGCGGGACUAUUUUUCCAUAUGCGUAACGGCACCACAACAGAGGAGUGCUAUGGCCACUCGCAUUCACCUUGGUCUGCUAUGCAGAGUGUUCACGGAAGGACGUCAACAUGGUGAAAUGUGCUUUUAGAAGCUGUGGAAACAUACAGAAGAAACGGACAAAGGAAAGUUUCCACCGCUUGCCUGUGAUGGACGAGGAACUAUAUAAAAUGUGGUUACUCUGCUGGAUAUGACAUACACACACACCGGUGGAAAAGUACUGCUUUGGAGUAUUUGCAGCGCCCAUUUUCAUUGGUAUCCUCUCCUGUUACCCAAUUGCUGUGCCUUCGAGUGUCCAAACGUCUUCAAGAGCUUCCGAUAAACAGGUAAAAAAAAAAAAAAAAAAAUCAUAUAUGAAAAUAUAUCACAUAUAUGUGCAUGCACACCUCGAUAUCGCAGCUCGCGUUAGUGAGGCUUGUAACAAACGCCAUGCAUAUUUAUGGUUCGCGUUUUUAAAUUGGAAACAAUGGUCAAUGUUCUGUCCAAUAUCUCACGAAGUGCAUUUUUCCUUCGUGCUAUUAUUUAAACAGCCGUUUGACAGGAAGGAAGUACUGUGGCUGCCAUUUUUGUAUUAUUUUAGUCAAUCCGUCGUUUGGUGAGAGCUGGUUGUGUUGUUUGUACCUUCGAAGGGAUCGUCUUUUCACUCCGAUUCAUUUUUGGAUGCGACAGUGCAGCACAAUAAAGCAUCUGGAGCUCGGACGCUACCUCCCUCCCGUAUUCAUUUUGAAUGGAGUUUAGCUGACUUUACACUUGUGUUCACUCACUCACACACACACACACACCCCUACACACACACACACGCACACACACACACACAAGGGGAACAGUACAGUCAAUUUCCAGAUCACCAUCCCGAAUGCAGUAAAUCCUUCCACUUCGGAUUUGGUUUACGAAUCGUUCGUAGGUUAUGUGCGUGAGCAACCGCCGUUUUUUGCACACUCCCACACACAGACACGUACUCUGACUCUUCCUCAUUGGGACUAGUAGUCGGUAGUAUGUAAAUACCGGUAAUCAAUAUGUCAAUCAUACAAUUUUUUUUUUACCUUUACUAUUUGCCCCAGACACCUCAGCCAAUCAGUUAAUGAAGGGUUAUUUAUAAUAAAGAUUGUGAGUGAACUGGGGGAUAUUGGAAUACUUUAUCACUUUCAUGAAAAAUUGAGAAGAAACCUUUUGAGCGUACAGAGUGAUAACUUGGUUUUCUAUGUCCUUAGAUAAGUGACACCUACCUAGCUUGUAAUAAAUAAAGGAAUAAACCAAGAAGUAAUCUCCGAUUUGGUCUUUGGGAAAGCGUUGAACAGCGCUCCUAAAUACGAUUUAAGAAAUAAUUCUAAAACUUUUUUGCUGAACAUGACAUUCCAAGAAAUUUUUUUUUAGAUAUUAGGGUUUGCCUUAUUCCGUGGUGCGGUUGUGUCUACAACACAGGCUUAUUAUUAUGACACAUCUAACAAGCUACUUUUUACUGUGAUCUUUAGGUGACCUGGAGAUGCUUUAUGUACACCCAGAAGAGGCUUCACUUUGUUUUCAACUCCAUGAAGGCAAGGGCGCCAGCAAGCGAGGAAUGCUGAUGGGACUUCGAGAUACAGCUUGGAGUUUCCAACGCAAACAAAAAGAUGGGUUGCCCGGAGGAGUUACGAGCCAACAACGCAGACAUUCUGACAGAAUUUGGUGGCGCAUGUCCUGGAAAGACUGCAGGGUUCAUCAGUGAAGUUUGCUGAUCCAGACUUUUAUUUCAAGCCUCCAACUACAGUUCCCCAGGCAUCAAAAGGCCUGAUAAAGAAAGUCAUUUUACAUGUCAGUAGAUUUAAAAAAUAAUUAGGCUGACAUUUUCCUUUUUUCUUUUUAAUAGAUAUUUUUGAAUGUACUAUAAUAAUAAUUAAAAAAAAACACAUAUUGUCUUAUUUGUGAAAUGUGAAGGUUUAAAAGAUCAAAAGUUUCUGGGUAUGUAGGAGUUGUACUGAGAAUAAUUGCAAAGCAUCUUCAGUUUCCCUAAAACCAUUGUAGUUCCCAAUGCCACAAGUGCACUUGUCACGGAUGCAGGAGACGACACAUGAUGGAAGAACACGUCGCUGGCCUCUUCCCAGAUGUUUGCCUUUCAACGCCCACUCAAAAACAACCCUAUAUGCCACCAAUCGGAGUUGCCUAAAACAACAAAACCAUAAUACAGGGUGAUUAAAAAAGAAAGUGCCAAAAUCAUCAUGUGAUAGAUCAAAAAAUUAUAUACAUUAUUUAAAAAAGUUACAGAACUCUAGCUUGGACACAUGUUCAAUAUUCCCAACACAUAAGCAGCACUCUACUAUAUGCAGCUGGAUUCAAAAUGAGGGGUAAAAAAGUAGCGGCUUAUAGUCCGCAAAUUACGUAACUUCAAGUUUUUAAAUCAAGUGCUCUUGUGCACUUUGAGAUUUGUUUUCCAAAUGUAAAGUGCGUUAUAAAUAAAAUGCAUUAUGCUCUAAGGGGACAAUCACCGGCAAUUGAAAUACAUGAAAUAAUACUUGAAGUUAUGUUCAACACAUUUGCCUAUGUCAGUUUUAUGUUUUUAAUUUUUGACAUAUUGCGUGAUAAUUUAGGCACAUCCUUGUAAAUAAUUGCCAUACUGCUACUGCUUUUUAUAUUGACAUGCUUUUACUCUCACAAUGCAUUACUGUUGGGAUGAUAUAGCUGCUUUCCUGAAGUAGAACUAUGCUUAGAGUAUACGAAUAUUCGCCCAGCGACAAAAUAAAGCAUGCAGGACUCCACUUACCUCAUUGAUAGCUGCCUGUUUUUUUCCAGUUGGUCUUGUCUACGAAGAAAAAAGUUUCAAGAACACCUUUGUUGAGAAGUGGGAAAAAGUCUUGGUGUUCACUUGCAACCAUUUAUUGAGUUCUGAAAACAGUUCAGCUCCAAUUCUUCCCUGCAUUUUGGGGGCGGGAAGUCGCUUCGUUGCCACAAAAAAGAAAAGAAAAAAAAAAGCGGUGAAAAGACCAAUGUGAUAUCCCUCCGCGCAGCCAGCUCGUUCUCUUCUCUGCAAGGCAACUGAAUUACUAAUGUUGCUGUUCUUACUGCAGUUAUUGACAUACAAUGGUAAGUUUUAAUAACUUUAUCCUGAAAACAUAGCCAACACUAUUGAUUGCAUGCGUCAUCGGUGAUUCUCCUAUGUGCAUAUGUUGUUUUCAUGAGCAUGCUAAUUGGCCAUAUUGACUUGCAUUAGCAUAGCCACUCCGGCGCCC